GUUAUCCACUUUGGUGGCAAGAAUAGGAAGGCAGAUUAUUAUCUGAAUUAUGUCAAGUUAGGAAAAGGGGAAGUACACCGAGAUCUGAGUGUCCUUAUUCAGCAGUCACUGAAAGUAAGCAUGCAGGUACAGCAGGCAUCACUAAUGGCAUGUUGGCCUUCAUAUCAAGAGGAGUUGAG